AUGAACGCUAGCUACAGGCUUAACACAUGCAAGUCGAGGGGCAGCAUGGUCUUAGCUUGCUAAGGCCGAUGGCGACCGGCGCACGGGUGAGUAACACGUAUCCAACCUGCCGUCUACUCUUGGACAGCCUUCUGAAAGGAAGAUUAAUACAAGAUGGCAUCAUGAGUCCGCAUGUUCACAUGAUUAAAGGUAUUCCGGUAGACGAUGGGGAUGCGUUCCAUUAGAUAGUAGGCGGGGUAACGGCCCACCUAGUCUUCGAUGGAUAGGGGUUCUGAGAGGAAGGUCCCCCACAUUGGAACUGAGACACGGUCCAAACUCCUACGGGAGGCAGCAGUGAGGAAUAUUGGUCAAUGGGCGAGAGCCUGAACCAGCCAAGUAGCGUGAAGGAUGACUGCCCUAUGGGUUGUAAACUUCUUUUAUAAAGGAAUAAAGUCGGGUAUGGAUACCCGUUUGCAUGUACUUUAUGAAUAAGGAUCGGCUAACUCCGUGCCAGCAGCCGCGGUAAUACGGAGGAUCCGAGCGUUAUCCGGAUUUAUUGGGUUUAAAGGGAGCGUAGAUGGAUGUUUAAGUCAGUUGUGAAAGUUUGCGGCUCAACCGUAAAAUUGCAGUUGAUACUGGAUAUCUUGAGUGCAGUUGAGGCAGGCGGAAUUCGUGGUGUAGCGGUGAAAUGCUUAGAUAUCACGAAGAACUCCGAUUGCGAAGGCAGCCUGCUAAGCUGCAACUGACAUUGAGGCUCGAAAGUGUGGGUAUCAAACAGGAUUAGAUACCCUGGUAGUCCACACGGUAAACGAUGAAUACUCGCUGUUUGCGAUAUACGGCAAGCGGCCAAGCGAAAGCGUUAAGUAUUCCACCUGGGGAGUACGCCGGCAACGGUGAAACUCAAAGGAAUUGACGGGGGCCCGCACAAGCGGAGGAACAUGUGGUUUAAUUCGAUGAUACGCGAGGAACCUUACCCGGGCUUAAAUUGCAGAUGAAUUACGGUGAAAGCCGUAAGCCGCAAGGCAUCUGUGAAGGUGCUGCAUGGUUGUCGUCAGCUCGUGCCGUGAGGUGUCGGCUUAAGAGCCAUAACGAGCGCAACCCUUGUUGUCAGUUACUAACAGGUUCUGCUGAGGACUCUGACAAGACUGCCAUCGUAAGAUGUGAGGAAGGUGGGGAUGACGUCAAAUCAGCACGGCCCUUACGUCCGGGGCUACACACGUGUUACAAUGGGGGGUACAGAGGGCCGCUACCACGCGAGUGGAUGCCAAUCCCAAAAACCUCUCUCAGUUCGGACUGGAGUCUGCAACCCGACUCCACGAAGCUGGAUUCGCUAGUAAUCGCGCAUCAGCCACGGCGCGGUGAAUACGUUCCCGGGCCUUGUACACACCGCCCGUCAAGCCAUGGGAGCCGGGGGUACCUGAAGUGCGUAACCGCGAGGAGCGCCCUAGGGUAAAACUGGUGACUGGGGCU
rnacentral:rRNA from 1 species